rnacentral:rRNA from 1 species
UGUGCUUACAAUUUACCAUGUUGUUUCCACUGGACAGGCCGGCCUUGUGUAUACAAGUCGGCCCUCUAGCCUGUGUUUUUGGCACUAGCUGGAGAGUUGCCAGUGGAUAAACCCCAAAUAUAAAACUCAUGAAGAAACCUACAUUGUCUGACUUAUUAUGUGAAAAAAACUAAAAAACUUUCAACAACGGAUCUCUAGGCUCUUGCAUCGAUGAAGAACGCAGUGAAAUGCGAUAAGUAAUGUGAAUUGCAGAAUCUCGUGAAUCAUCGAAUCUUUGAACGCACAUUGCGCCCUAUGGAAGUCCGUAGGGCAUGCCUGUCUGAGCGUCAGCAAACAGUAUAUCAAAUCUUUGACUAUUUAAGUCAAAAGAUUUGGAUUUGGUCAGGGAUGUAACUUGUGAAAACCGCGGUUACUCUUUGGAAAUUUAAAGGCAGUACUGGUCAACCUGAUUGUAAACGUGAUAAAAAAACAUUUCGUUUCUUUGUCAGGAUGAACUUUUUGCUUGCCUGUAACCCACUCAUCUUCCUGGGUGAACCUCAGAUCAGGUAGGGAUACCCGCUGAACUUAAGCAUAUCAAUA